GGUUAAGCGACUAAGCGUACACGGUGGAUGCCCUGGCAGUCAGAGGCGAUGAAGGACGUGCUAAUCUGCGAUAAGCGUCGGUAAGGUGAUAUGAACCGUUAUAACCGGCGAUUUCCGAAUGGGGAAACCCAGUGUGUUUCGACACACUAUCAUUAACUGAAUCCAUAGGUUAAUGAGGCGAACCGGGGAACUGAAACAUCUAAGUACCCUGAGGAAAAGAAAUCAACCGAGAUUCCCCCAGUAGCGGCGAGCGAACGGGGAGGAGCCCAGAGCCUGAAUCAGUGUGUGUGUUAGUGGAAGCGUCUGGAAAGGCGCGCGAUACAGGGUGACAGCCCCGUACACAAAAAUGCACAUGCUGUGAGCUCGAUGAGUAGGGCGGGACACGUGGUAUCCUGUCUGAAUAUGGGGGACCAUCCUCCAAGGCUAAAUACUCCUGACUGACCGAUAGUGAACCAGUACCGUGAGGGAAAGGCGAAAAGAACCCCGGCGAGGGGAGUGAAAAAGAACCUGAAACCGUGUACGUACAAGCAGUGGGAGCCUCUUUAUGGGGUGACUGCGUACCUUUUGUAUAAUGGGUCAGCGACUUAUAUUCUGUAGCAAGGUUAACCGAAUAGGGGAGCCGAAGGGAAACCGAGUCUUAACUGGGCGUUAAGUUGCAGGGUAUAGACCCGAAACCCGGUGAUCUAGCCAUGGGCAGGUUGAAGGUUGGGUAACACUAACUGGAGGACCGAACCGACUAAUGUUGAAAAAUUAGCGGAUGACUUGUGGCUGGGGGUGAAAGGCCAAUCAAACCGGGAGAUAGCUGGUUCUCCCCGAAAGCUAUUUAGGUAGCGCCUCGUGAAUUCAUCUCCGGGGGUAGAGCACUGUUUCGGCAAGGGGGUCAUCCCGACUUACCAACCCGAUGCAAACUGCGAAUACCGGAGAAUGUUAUCACGGGAGACACACGGCGGGUGCUAACGUCCGUCGUGAAGAGGGAAACAACCCAGACCGCCAGCUAAGGUCCCAAAGUCAUGGUUAAGUGGGAAACGAUGUGGGAAGGCCCAGACAGCCAGGAUGUUGGCUUAGAAGCAGCCAUCAUUUAAAGAAAGCGUAAUAGCUCACUGGUCGAGUCGGCCUGCGCGGAAGAUGUAACGGGGCUAAACCAUGCACCGAAGCUGCGGCAGCGACGCUUAUGCGUUGUUGGGUAGGGGAGCGUUCUGUAAGCCUGCGAAGGUGUGCUGUGAGGCAUGCUGGAGGUAUCAGAAGUGCGAAUGCUGACAUAAGUAACGAUAAAGCGGGUGAAAAGCCCGCUCGCCGGAAGACCAAGGGUUCCUGUCCAACGUUAAUCGGGGCAGGGUGAGUCGACCCCUAAGGCGAGGCCGAAAGGCGUAGUCGAUGGGAAACAGGUUAAUAUUCCUGUACUUGGUGUUACUGCGAAGGGGGACGGAGAAGGCUAUGUUGGCCGGGCGACGGUUGUCCCGGUUUAAGCGUGUAGGCUGGUUUUCCAGGCAAAUCCGGAAAAUCAAGGCUGAGGCGUGAUGACGAGGCACUACGGUGCUGAAGCAACAAAUGCCCUGCUUCCAGGAAAAGCCUCUAAGCAUCAGGUAACAUCAAAUCGUACCCCAAACCGACACAGGUGGUCAGGUAGAGAAUACCAAGGCGCUUGAGAGAACUCGGGUGAAGGAACUAGGCAAAAUGGUGCCGUAACUUCGGGAGAAGGCACGCUGAUAUGUAGGUGAAGCGACUUGCUCGUGGAGCUGAAAUCAGUCGAAGAUACCAGCUGGCUGCAACUGUUUAUUAAAAACACAGCACUGUGCAAACACGAAAGUGGACGUAUACGGUGUGACGCCUGCCCGGUGCCGGAAGGUUAAUUGAUGGGGUUAGCGGUAACGCGAAGCUCUUGAUCGAAGCCCCGGUAAACGGCGGUACGUAACUAUAACGGUCCUAAGGUAGCGAAAUUCCUUGUCGGGUAAGUUCCGACCUGCACGAAUGGCGUAAUGAUGGCCAGGCUGUCUCCACCCGAGACUCAGUGAAAUUGAACUCGCUGUGAAGAUGCAGUGUACCCGCGGCAAGACGGAAAGACCCCGUGAACCUUUACUAUAGCUUGACACUGAACAUUGAGCCUUGAUGUGUAGGAUAGGUGGGAGGCUUUGAAGUGUGGACGCCAGUCUGCAUGGAGCCGACCUUGAAAUACCACCCUUUAAUGUUUGAUGUUCUAACGUUGGCCCCUGAUCGGGGUUGCGGACAGUGUCUGGUGGGUAGUUUGACUGGGGCGGUCUCCUCCUAAAGAGUAACGGAGGAGCACGAAGGUUGGCUAAUCCUGGUCGGACAUCAGGAGGUUAGUGCAAUGGCAUAAGCCAGCUUGACUGCGAGCGUGACGGCGCGAGCAGGUGCGAAAGCAGGUCAUAGUGAUCCGGUGGUUCUGAAUGGAAGGGCCAUCGCUCAACGGAUAAAAGGUACUCCGGGGAUAACAGGCUGAUACCGCCCAAGAGUUCAUAUCGACGGCGGUGUUUGGCACCUCGAUGUCGGCUCAUCACAUCCUGGGGCUGAAGUAGGUCCCAAGGGUAUGGCUGUUCGCCAUUUAAAGUGGUACGCGAGCUGGGUUUAGAACGUCGUGAGACAGUUCGGUCCCUAUCUGCCGUGGGCGCUGGAGAACUGAGGGGGCUGCUCCUAGUACGAGAGGACCGGAGUGGACGCAUCACUGGUGUUCGGGUUGUCAUGCCAAUGGCACUGCCCGGUAGCUAAAUGCGGAAGAGAUAAGUGCUGAAAGCAUCUAAGCACGAAACUUGCCCCGAGAUGAGUUCUCCCUGAGACUUUAAGUCUCCUGAAGGAACGUUGAAGACGACGACGUUGAUAGGCCGGGUGUGUAAGCGCAGCGAUGCGUUGAGCUAACCGGUACUAAUGAACCGUGAGGCUUAACCUU
rnacentral:rRNA from 1 species